UUUAAUUGCGUUUCACUAAGGAUCUAUAUUAUACGUAUGUUUUGCGGUAUUUUUGACCCCUCUUUUGUUUACUCAUUUGAGUGCGUGUCUUAUUUACUUAGCAUCAUACAUUUAGAUCCUGAAAGCAACGAACGUGACCGCAACCUCUUGUUGCCUUUAUACCAGACCUUUUUUUAAAUUUUUCGAAAUUUUUUUAAAGGGAAAAAGGCUUUUUAAACUAGAGGGACCGCUGUUUCUUUCUUAAACCAGAGGAAGGAUGCGGCAAUAACAGGUCUGUGAUGCCCUUAGAUGUUCCGGGCUGCACACGUGCUACAAUGAUUAUUGCAGUGAGCAUCUCAUUUAAUACACCGCUUGCGCGAGUCCAUUUAUUCAUUAUUUCCUUCGGGAUUUAUGUUUUAAAUGUGUUUACUCUGCGCGUGGUAAAGCCUGCUUCGAAAGUAAGUGGGUAAUCAAUUAGAAGUAAUGAUUUCCGUAUUAGCACACAUAUAUACGGCGGUUAUACCCGGGAUAUGCUCGUCAUAUCUUUUGUGUGUAUAACUGUUUUUUUCCGUAUGUGCAAUUGUCAAUUCAUGGUGGGGACAGACCAUUGUUAAUUGUUGGUCUCGGUCUUAACUAGGAAUGCCUUGUACGGGUCUUUGGUUCAACAGACCACCCGGAAUACGUCCCUGCCCUUUGUACACACCGCCCGUCGCUCUUACCGAUGGACUUCUCUGUGAGUUUGAGGGACUGGGUAUCAUGCCUAUGGAAACUUAAACGAACAGUGUG
rnacentral:rRNA from 1 species